rnacentral:rRNA from 1 species
UUGAACGCUGGCGGCAUGCCUUACACAUGCAAGUCGAACGGCAGCACGGGUGCUUGCCCCUGGUGGCGAGUGGCGAACGGGUGAGUAAUACAUCGGAACAUGUCCUGUAGUGGGGGAUAGCCCGGCGAAAGCCGGAUUAAUACCGCAUACGAUCUACGGAUGAAAGCGGGGGACCUUCGGGCCUCGCGCUAUAGGGUUGGCCGAUGGCUGAUUAGCUAGUUGGUGGGGUAAAGGCCUACCAAGGCGACGAUCAGUAGCUGGUCUGAGAGGACGACCAGCCACACUGGGACUGAGACACGGCCCAGACUCCUACGGGAGGCAGCAGUGGGGAAUUUUGGACAAUGGGCGAAAGCCUGAUCCAGCAAUGCCGCGUGUGUGAAGAAGGCCUUCGGGUUGUAAAGCACUUUUGUCCGGAAAGAAAUCCUUGGCUCUAAUACAGUCGGGGGAUGACGGUACCGGAAGAAUAAGCACCGGCUAACUACGUG